rnacentral:lncRNA from 1 species
CAGCUGAGUCUCCAACUCAACCGUGUUGCUUUCCUUUGCUCAAACUGGAAAGCCACCUCGGUUGGGUUGUCUCCGAGGGCGUCGAAGCCCACAGAGGCUCCUCCAAGAGCUCUCCUCCCGAAAUAACGGAAGAAGGAGUCGGGCGGCAGCUCGUCGCGGUAGGCCUCGCACAUGUACGCGAGGGCGCGCUGCAUGGCGAACUGAAGGCCCGACGCGAAGCUGGGGUAGCGCCCGGUGAACGCGAUGUCCGCCGUCACUGGCUUCACCUCACGGCCUCGGAUGACCGUCUCAACCUCCCACCUAGGAUGCCAACCGUGGGGGUGUGGCGGCUCGGCGCGUCCCCGAAAACGCGGUGGCGCAAGGUCGAGGUAGGCGCACAGCGACGCCAAAGCUGAGCUAAACAGCUGUACGUCACCGACAGCUGGGUAGUGGAUGUGGGUGAUAAGCAGUACGUUGCCAAACUGUGGUGGGUUGUCUAUCUAUAGAAAAAAGGUAGAGAGAGAGAAUGUUAAUGACAUGAUUAUUGCUUGGAUGCAUAAAUAGAAAUUUAAAAUGACAUUAUGGUGGAAUUAAUGGCUUUGACUGUAAGUAAAGUUGCAAUGCAUGGUGGCAAUUUAAUAUAUCAUGGAGUGUUUUAUGCUGAAUAACAUGCAAGCGUAUGAAAAUAAAAUAAAAUAAAACAUAGAUGAAACUGUAAUAUGCAUGAAUAUUCUGGUGGUAUGACAUGCGAUUGCAAAGAAAAUAAAAACAAGAUAUGCGUGCAGAAAUGAAUAUGAAACGCACAUGUCCUUAGGGCUGGUCUUAGUCUUUUUCCAUUCUAGGGUCACGUUACUACAGGUAACACAAUGCUCUGAUACCGUCUGAAGCGACCGCCCCCUUACAGGGUUCGAUAUGCUUAUAGUGCUAGUCCCUGAAUCAACUCACUAUCACACACAGUUCAAGAUGUAAUAUCGAGAAACAAAGGUCA